rnacentral:rRNA from 1 species
UACGGAGGGUGCGAGCGUUGUCCGGAAUUACUGGGCGUAAAGAGCUCGUAGGCGGUUUGUCACGUCGUCUGUGAAAUCCCUCGGCUUAACCGGGGGCGUGCAGGCGAUACGGGCAGACUUGAGUACUACAGGGGAGACUGGAAUUCCUGGUGUAGCGGUGAAAUGCGCAGAUAUCAGGAGGAACACCGAUGGCGAAGGCGGGUCUCUGGGUAGUAACUGACGCUGAGGAGCGAAAGCAUGGGUAGCGAACAGG